AUGGCCUCCACGCCGGAGCCCGUCCCUUAAGCUCCUAGGAUUUUUAGAUGUUGAAAAUACUCCCUGCGCCCGGCAUUCAAUAUUGUAUGGUUCAUUAGGAUCUGUUGUGGCUGGCUUUGGACAUUUUUUGUUCACUAGUAGAAUUAGAAGAUCAUGUGAUGUUGGAGUAGGGGGGUUUAUCUUGGUGACUUUGGGAUGCUGGUUUCACUGUAGGUAUAAUUAUGCAAGGCAAAGAAUCCAGGAAAGAAUUGCCAGAGAAGAAAUUAAAAAGAAGAUAUUAUAUGAAGGUACCCACCUCGAUCCUGAAAGAAAACACAACGGCGGCAGCAGCAAUUGAACAAUCUUGAGCAUAGAAAAGAAGUCAAUGUAAACGAAGUUAAGAUCAACCACAUAAAACAUUUCAUGUGCAAUAAGCUCUCAAUCAAGUAAAUAAAGUUUAAGUUGUA
rnacentral:lncRNA from 1 species